GCCCGCCUCUCACCCCUGACGACGCUUCCUGGCAGCCGGAAGCCCCUCGGUUCCCACAAACCCCUGGCGGUCCCACCACCCCUUUCCCCCCCGGCCGACCCCCGAGCACCGUUUCCUUCUCUCCGGAAGGUACUAUGCUACCACCAUUUGACAAGGGAAGUACAUCGACUGACCGACAGAAAAGCUGGAUGUGGAUGCCUUCAGUGUUGAUACCCCAAAUACUCCUCUCAGCUCCAUAGAGAAAAUGCUGUAAAGCAAUUAGGCACGAAGCCACCGCCUGCAAUGCCGACAUUCCAUAUGGAUGCUGGUUCAAGUCCUGGCUGCUUGCUCCAUUUCCAGUCCAGUUUCCUGCUAGUGGUCUGGGAAGGCAGCCAAAAAAAACCCAAGUGUUUGGGGCUCUGCCAACCAAG